rnacentral:rRNA from 1 species
CAAUAGCGUAUAUUAAAGUUGUUGCGGUAAAAAAGCUCGUAGUUGGAUUUCUGUUGAGAGCGACCGGUCCAUACCAUGUAUGCGUAUCUGGCUUGCUCUCGGCAUCCUCUCGAUAGACGUUACUGCGCUUGAUUGCGUGGUGCGGAUCUCGGGACUUUUACUUUGAGGAAAUUAGAGUGUUCACGGCAGGCUUUCGCCAGAAUACAUUAGCAUGGAAUAAUACUAUAGGAUCUUGGUUCUAUUUUGUUGGUUUCUAGAAUUGAGAUAAUGAUUAAUAGGGACAAUUGGGGGCAUCCGUAUCAACACGUCAGAGGUGGAAUUCUUGGAUUGUGUUGCGACGAACUACUGCGAAAGCAUUUGCCAAGGAUGUUUUCAUUGA